UAUUGCUCUUAAACGAGGAAUCCCUAGUAAGUACAAGUCACUAGCUUGUGCUGAUUACGUCCCUGCCCUUUGUACACACCGCCCGUCGCUACUACCGAUUGAAUGGCUUAGUGAGGCCUUCGGAUUGAGGCUCGGAGACUGGCAACAGACUCUUGGUUUUGAAAAGUUGGUCAAACUUGGUCAUUUAGAGGAAGUAAAAGUCGUAACAAGGUUUCCGUAGGUGAACCUGCGGAAGGAUCAUUACCGAUUUUAGCGAGCCUGACCUUCGGUUAUGGUCUCGCGAAAACUUUAUAUUUAAAACCCCACUCGUAAAAAAAAAAAUUUUCAUAUAUAAAUAAAUAAAGAUCACUUUCAACAACGGAUCUCUUGGCUCUCGCAUCGAUGAAGAACGUAGCGAAGUGCGAUAAGUAAUGUGAAUUGCAAAUUCUGUGAAUCAUCGAAUCUUUGAACGCAAAUUGCACUCUCUUCGGAGAGUAUGCCUGUUUGAGGGUCAGUAUUAAUAAAAAUCGGCGUGUUGCUCUUUCGUGACACUCCGGAGUUGGGUCAUCUUAUAACAGUACCUUUCAAGGUGUUUCUAAGAGGCUUAAAAUUGACAUCUUUUUUUGCGCAUUUUAGACGUACAUAAAUUUUUUUUAUUCGUUUAUUCUAAUGCCAAAAUCUCUAUUAGAUGCGACCAUAUCGUGUGGGUUUCCGUGUCUAUAAAUUUUUUCAUGAUUUGACCUCAAAUCAGGUAGGAACACCCGCUGAACUUAAGCAUAUCAAUAAGCGGAGGGAAAAGAAAAUAACAAUGAUUCCCCUAGUAACUGCGAGUGAGAGGGGACAAGCUCAAAUUUUAAAUCUGUCGGGAUUUUCCCUGACCCGAGUGUAAUUUGAAGAAGCGUUUUCUGCGCUGUUUGGAUCAGCCAAGGUCCCUAAUUGAAUGAGCAAUCAUGGAGGUGAUAAUCCGGUCCCGGAUGGAUCAAUUGGUGCUCCUACGAAUACGCCCUUCCAAGAGUCAGGGUGUUCGGCAAUUGCAGCAUUAAAAUUGGGGAGGUA
rnacentral:rRNA from 2 species